UGCAUCGGCCGGGAAUCGAACCUGGGCCGCUCGCGUGGCAGGCGAGCAUUCUACCACAGAACCACUGAUGG
rnacentral:tRNA from 1 species